ACGGCUCAUUAAACCAGCUAUAAUCUACUUGAUCUUGACAUAUAUCUACUUGGAUAACUGUGGUAAUUCUAGAGCUAAUACAUGCAUAAAUUCUCUGACCUUGCGGGAAGAGCGCAUUUAUUAGAGCAAAACCAGGCGGCUUCGGUCGUUUUUUGCUGACUCAGAAUAACUCAGCUGAUCGCACGGUCAUUGUACCGGCGACGUGUCUUUUGAGUAUCUGCCUUAUCAAUUUUCGAUGGUAGUGUAUCUGACUACCAUGGUUUUGACGGGUAACGGAGAAUCAGGGUUCGACUCCGGAGAAGGGGCCUGAGAAAUGGCCACUACGUCUAAGGAUGGCAGCAGGCGCGCAAAUUACCCACUCUCGGAAUGAGGAGGUAGUGACGAGAAAUAACGAGACCGUUCUCUUUGAGGCCGGUUAUCGGAAUGGGUACAAUUUAAACCCUUUAACGAGUAUCUAUGAGAGGGCAAGUCUGGUGCCAGCAGCCGCGGUAAUUCCAGCUCUCAAAAUGCAUAGAACCAUUGCUGCGGUUAAAAAGCUCGUAGUUGAAUCUAUGCCUGAGGCUUGGUCCACUCUUCGAGUGCGUACUAGGUUCUUUGGCUUUUCGUCGGUUUUCUUGUCGUGGCCUUUAUUGGUGGCGGCAAGUGGCUGACAAUUUUACUUUGAACAAAUCAGAGUGCUUAAAACAGGCGUCUCGCUUGUAUGCUUUUGCAUAGAAUAAUGGAACACGACUUCGGUCUGGUUUUAUUGGUUUUAUAGAUCGUUGUAAUGAUUAAAAGAGACAAACGGGGGCAUUCGUAUUGUUGCGUGAGAGGUGAAAUUCUUGGACCGCAGCAAGACGACCUACAGCGAAAGCAUUUGCCAAGCUUGUCUUCAUUAAUCAAGAACGAAAGUCAGAGGAUCGAAGGUGAUCAGAUACCGCCCUAGUUCUGACCGUAAACGAUGCCAACUAGCGAUUCGCCGGCGGAUUAUUUGCCCUGGCGAGGAGCUUCCCGGAAACGAAAGUCUUCCGGUUCCGGGGGAAGUAUGGUUGCAAAGCUGAAACUUAAAGGAAUUGACGGAAGGGCACCACCAGGAGUGGAGCCUGCGGCUUAAUUUGACUCAACACGGGAAAACUCACCCGGCCCGGACACUAUAAGGAUUGACAGAUUGAUAGCUCUUUCAUGAUUUGGUGGAUGGUGGUGCAUGGCCGUUCUUAGUUCGUGGAGUGAUUUGUCUGGUUUAUUCCGAUAACGAGCGAGACUCUAGCCUACUAAAUAGUCUGCUCAUUGCCAAUGUGUGGCAGUACUUCCUAGAGGAAUUUUCGGUGUUUAACCGCAUGAAAUUGAGCAAUAACAGGUCUGUGAUGCCCUUAGAUGUCCGGGGCUGCACGCGCGCUACACUGGUAAAGUCAGCGUGCGUCUCCUUUCUCGAAAGAGAUUGGUAAACCAGUGAACGUUUGCCGUGAUAGGGAUCGGAAAUUGCAAUUAUUUUCUGUGAACGAGGAAUUCCAAGUAAAUGUGAGUCAUCAACUCGCGUUGAUUACGUCCCUGCCCUUUGUACACACCGCCCGUCGCUGCCCGGGACUGAGCCAUUUCGAGAAAAUUGGGGAUUGCUGACUGACGGUUCUUCGGGAUUGUCUUUUGGUGAAAACCAGCUUAAUCGUA
rnacentral:rRNA from 1 species